rnacentral:rRNA from 1 species
AGUGAACGCUGGCGGUAGGCCUAACACAUGCAAGUCGAACGGCAGCACAGUAAGAGCUUGCUCUUACGGGUGGCGAGUGGCGGACGGGUGAGGAAUACAUCGGAAUCUACUUUUUCGUGGGGGAUAACGUAGGGAAACUUACGCUAAUACCGCAUACGACCUACGGGUGAAAGCAUGGGAUCUUCGGACCUUGCGCGAUUGAAUGAGCCGAUGUCGGAUUAGCUAGUUGGCGGGGUAAAGGCCCACCAAGGCGACGAUCCGUAGCUGGUCUGAGAGGAUGAUCAGCCACACUGGAACUGAGACACGGUCCAGACUCCUACGGGAGGCAGCAGUGGGGAAUAUUGGACAAAGGGCGCAAGCCUGAUCCAGCCAUACCGCGUGGGUGAAGAAGGCCUUCGGGUUGUAAAGCCCUUUUGUUGGGAAAGAAAAGCAGCAGGUUAAUACCCCGCUGUUCUGACGGUACCAAAAGAAUAAGCACCGGCUAACUUCGUG